GACGAACGCUGGCGGCGUGCUUAACACAUGCAAGUCGAACGGUGAAGGGACCGGUUUUUGCUGGUUCUGGAUGAGUGGCGAACGGGUGAGGAACACGUGAGUAACCUGCCCCCUUCUUCUGGAUAACCGCAUGAAAGUGUUGCUAAUACGGGAUAUUCUGCUCCUGCUGCAUGGCUGGGAUGGGGAAGAUAUUGUUUCUGAGGGGGAUGGGCUCGCGGCCUAUCAGCUUGUUGGUGGGGUGAUGGCCUACCAAGGCGGUGACGGGUAGCCGGCAUGAGAGGGUGGACGGCCACACGGGUGCGGAGCCACGGCGCAGACUCCUAGGGGCGGCAGUAGGGGGGAAUAUGGCACAGUGGGCGCAAGGCUGAUGCAGCGACGCCGCGUGGGGGAUGGAGGCCUGCGGGUUGUAAACCUCUUUCGCCAGUGAAGCAGGCCUGUCCCUUUUGUGGGUGGGUUGACGGUAGCUGGAUAAGAAGCGCCGGCUAACUACGUG
rnacentral:rRNA from 1 species